UGAGUUGCAGUUAUUUUCUCUGUCUGAAACUCUGACAGACUGUUGCACAGAGAGAAGCGGGAGCUGACUGAAGCUAGGCAGGAUGCAGGCUAUCAAAUGUGUUGUUGUGGGAGAUGGAGCUGUGGGGAAAACAUGUCUUCUCAUCAGCUACACAACCAACGCUUUCCCUGGAGAAUAUAUCCCUACUGUCUUUGAUAACUACUCAGCCAAUGUGAUGGUGGACAGUAAGCCAGUCAACCUCGGUCUCUGGGAUACAGCAGGACAGGAGGACUAUGACAGACUGAGACCACUGUCCUACCCACAGACGGAUGUGUUCCUCAUCUGUUUCUCUCUGGUGAGCCCAGCCUCCUACGAGAACGUCAGAGCCAAGUGGUACCCAGAGGUGCGUCACCACUGCCCGUCAACUCCUAUCAUCCUAGUGGGUACUAAGCUGGAUCUGAGGGACGAGAAGGAGACCAUCGAGAAGCUCAAAGAGAAGAAACUGGCCCCCAUCACCUACCCACAAGGCCUAGCGCUGGCCAAGGACGUUGGUAGACUCUGUGAAGUACCUGGAGUGUUCUGCUCUGACCCAGCGUGGCCUGAAGACAGUGUUUGACGAGGCUAUCAGGGCAGUACUCUGCCCACAGCCAGCCAAGGUCGGGAAGAAGAAAUGUCUACUGCUCUAACAGAUGCAGCUAAGAGUGAAAACGGACAGCGAACAAACCAGGGGGCAAGAUGUUAACUCAAAAGGCCUUUUAGUUUUUCUGUGCGAGAAGAAAAAACAUUGACUUAUGAAAGCCUACAUGGUUAAAUAAAUAUAACAUAUUAUAAUUAAGUCAUGUUAAAUCUAUUACAAUGGCAUCUGAUGUGUGCUUGUUAGGUACUGGUAUAUAGUGUAUGAUAUCUGUGUUUCUGUCAAAUGAAUAAAUUGUAUAAUAUUUGCAGAAUA